ensembl:rRNA 5S_rRNA 5S ribosomal RNA
GCUUAUGGCCAUACCAGCCUGAAUGCACCCGAUCUCGUCUGAUCUCGGAAGCAAGGCAAGGUCGGGCCUGGUUAGUACUUGGAUGGGAGACCGCCUGGGAAUACCAGGUGCUGUAAGCU